UGGGUGUUUAUCACUCCAGUAUCUUUAAGCUUUGAGAUAUCUGGCAAAAUAGAUGCCCUAGAGAAAAUAGAAGUUUUCUGUUCAGUCUUCUGAAGUUUGAGGGUUGGAUCGUUCCACUUCUUACAUCA